AAUUAGACGGGAACCAGCCGAACUGAAUCAUCUUAGUAGGUUGAGGAAAAGAGAAUAAACAAUGAUUCCGAAAGUAGUGGCGAGCGAAAUUGGAACAGCCCAAACCUUAACAUAACCAUACGGUUUAACGGCCAGAGUUAUGAAAGGGGUUGUGAAAUUAGAUAAUUUUUAUGUAUAGCGGUUGAUUACAUCGAAGCCUACUCACUUUUAAGGAACGUAUGCAUGGCUGAGCGGCCACAAGCGUGUCCGAAAAAGUGAGUAGGCUUUUGAUACGACGGUUAUACAUAAAAACCAACAUCGUUAAAUGAGUGGAUAAUGAUAAAAUCCUUUAGAUCAUAGCAGAAGUGUUUGAAUGGCACACCAUAGAAGGUGAGAGUCCUGUACGCGAAAUGGUCUUAGGCAUUAUAUAUCUUUUUUCAAGUAGGACGGGGCACGAGAAACCCUGUUUGAAUCCGGCAGGACCACCUGCCAAGGCUAAAUAUAUUGAUUGAUCGAUAGCGAACUAGUACAGUGAUGGAAAGGUGAAAAGAACCCCGGGAGGGGAGUGAAAUAGAUCCUGAAAUUGUGUGCCUACAAGGAGUCGGAGCCGGCUUGUCCGGUGACGGCGUGCUUUUUGUAGAACGAUCCAGCGAGUUAAUUUCGUGCGCAAGGUUAAGCCAAUUGGCGGAGCCACAGUGAAAGCGAGCCUGAAUAGGGCGAAUGAGUGCACGGGAUUAGACCCGAAACCGGGUGACCUAACCAUGAGCAGGUUGAAGCUACUGUAACAGGUAGUGAAGGACCGAACCAGGAUACGCAGCAAAGUGUUUGGAUGACUUGUGGUUAGCGGUGAAAUGCCAAUCGAACUCGGAGAUAGCUGGUUCUCCUCGAAAUAGCUUUAGGGCUAGCGUCAUGUUAGUAAUGUAUGGGGGUAGAGCUCUGUAAAGGAUUGGGGCGGGCAACUGUACCCACCCUUAACAAACUACGAAUACCAUAUAUGUAAUCAUGGCAGUUAGAACAUCGGUGCUAAGAUCGGUGCUCAAAAGGGAAACAGCCCAGACCAUCAUCUAAGGUCCCUAAAUAUACAUUAAGUGGGAAACAAGGUGAAAUUUCUUAAACAGCGAGGAUGUUGGCUUAGAAGCAGCCAUUCAUUUAAAGAGUGCGUAACAGCUCACUCGUCAAGAGAUUUUGCGUGGAAAAUGUAACGGGGCUAAAUGUAUUACCGAAGAUAUGGAUUAUUACAUUAGUAAUAGUGGUAGAGGAGCGUUCCUAUCAGCAGUGAAGCAGUAUUGAAAAGUAUUGUGAAGCGGUAGGAAGUGAGAAUGCUGGAAUGAGUAACUAUAAGAUAGGUGAGAAUCCUGUCGGCCGUAAGAGCAAGGUUUCCUGAGCUAUGGUAAUCAUCUCAGGGUUAGUCGGGCCUAAGCCGAGGCGCAUAGCGUAGGCGAUGGACAUCAGGUUAAUAUUCCUGAACCGGUAUAUACUUGUAUGCUAUUCACGGCGAGAUAUCCGGAGCGGAUUCAUGGUUUAUCCGUCCAACCGAGCGGGAACGCAAAGGGAGUGAAAGUGAUUCUUCGGAGUCGCGAUUUUGGUGAAAGCCCUGGCUAGAAAAGCAGAUGUACGCGUGGACUUAGCCGCCCGUACCGCAAACCAACACAGGUGCUCGAGUCGAGUAGACUCAGGCUUACGAGAGAACCUUCGCUAAGGAACUCGGCAAUACAGCGACCGUAACUUCGGAAUAAGGUCUGCCCCCACUUCGGUGGAUAUGUUGUCAGUUUCAUAGCUCUAUAAGGUGUGGUUAAAGAGUAUCUUUAAUACAUCAAUUCUUCUUGAGAUAGAACCAAGCUUUGGAACUGAAGCUCAACACAUCUAGCGAUGUGGGGGCCGCAGCAAAAGAGCCCACGGAACUGUUUAUCAAAAACACAGCUCUCUGCCAACACGAAAGUGGAUGUAUAGGGGGUGACUCCUGCCCGGUGCUGGAAGGUUAAGGGGAGUGCUUUACGGUGCGAACUGAAGCCCCAGUGAACGGCGGCGGUAACUAUAACCGUCCUAAGGUAGCGAAAUUCCUUGUCAGGUAAGUUCUGACCCGCACGAAUGGAGUAAUCAUGUGGGCACUGUCUCAGCGAAGGACUCGGUGAAAGUGCAUUGGCGGUAAAGAUGCCGUCUGUCCAUACCAGGACGAGAAGACCCCAUGGAGCUUUACUACAGCUUUACAUUGAUCCGGGUUUCAACAUGUGUAGCAUAGUUGGGAGACUGCGAAGCAGAUACGCUAGUAUUUGUGGAGUCGCAAUGUGAAAUACCAACCUUGUUGUGAUCUUGAUCUCACUUGUGCCGUUAUCCGGUAUGAGGACCGUGUAUGGUGGGUAGUUUAACUGGGGCGGUUGCCUCCUAAAGAGUAGCGGAGGCGUUCAAAGGU
rnacentral:rRNA from 1 species